GCCAGGAUGGUCUAAUCGGUUAAGGCGUCGCCCCGGUCAGGCGAAGGUUGCGGGUUCAAUCCCCGCUUCUGGCC
rnacentral:tRNA from 1 species